rnacentral:rRNA from 1 species
GACGAACGCUGGCGGCGUGCUUAACACAUGCAAGUCGAACGGUGACGAAGAGCUUGCUCUUCUGAUCAGUGGCGAACGGGUGAGUAACACGUGAGCAACCUACCCUUGACACUGGGAUAACAGUUGGAAACAGCUGCUAAUACCGGAUAUGAACCUCACAGGCAUCUGAGAGGUUGGAAAGCUCCGACGGUCAAGGAUGGGCUCGCGGCCUAUCAGCUUGUUGGUGAGGUAACGGCUCACCAAGGCGACGACGGGUAGCCGGCCUGAGAGGGCGACCGGCCACACUGGGACUGAGAUACGGCCCAGACUCCUACGGGAGGCAGCAGUGGGGAAUAUUGCGCAAUGGGCGAAAGCCUGACGCAGCAACGCCGCGUGCGGGAUGACGGCC